GACGAACGCUGGCGGCGUGCCUAAUACAUGCAAGUCGAACGCAGUGGGGACGGGUGAGUAACCCGUGGGUAACCUCCCAUCAGAGGGGAUAACACUUGGCAACAGGUGCUAAACCGAUACUGAUGGAUGGACCCGCGGUGCAUUAGCUAGUUGGUGAGGUAACGGCUCACCAAGGCCACGAUGCAUAGCGGACCUGAGAGGGUGAUGGGCCACACUGGAACUGAGACACGGCCCAGACUCCUACGGGAGGCAGCAGUGGGGAUGCUUGGGCAAUGGACGAAAGUCUGACCGAGCAAGGCCGCGUGAGUGAAGAAGGUUUUCGGAUCGUAAAACUCUGUUGGUAGGGAAGCGUUAUCUAACAAGAAAGCACUGGCUAACUACGUGCCAGCAGCCGCGGUAAUAC
rnacentral:rRNA from 1 species